rfam:Nasonia vitripennis chromosome 1, whole genome shotgun sequence.
CAAUCGGCCCUUUUCAGGGCCAUCAAAUGUUUUUUAUGCGUAGAA